UCGAAUCGAAGUUUCUUCGUGUUGGCCACCUUCAAUGUCUUCAGCUUCUCCUCGCGCACCUCCUUGCAAUGGACUCGGACCAGGGACAGAGCAACAUCUGCACCACAACGAGCUGCAGAUUUCUUCCCCGAUUGCACUCGGUUCGGAAUCUCCUCUAGUCGAGCCAUCAGGUUCUCCAUCUCCUGCCGCGACUCAUCUUCUGGCCAAAGCUCCUUGUCGAUUCGGCCGACGACUUCUCUCAGUCGACCGAUGAAAGGGCCAACUUUGCCCACGCGGAUGUGCGCCCGGAGCAGAUCCCGAUUGGCGUCCUCGCCG
rnacentral:lncRNA from 1 species